GUCUACGACCAUACCACCCUGAACGUGCCUGAUCUUGUUUGAUCUUGGAAGCUAAGCAGGGUGGGGCUUGGUUAGUACUUGGAUGGGAGACUGCUUGGGAAUACUGGGUGCUGUAGGCU
rnacentral:rRNA from 1 species